UACGUAGGGUGCGAGCGUUGUCCGGAAUUAUUGGGCGUAAAGAGCUCGUAGGCGGUCUGUCGCGUCGAUCGUGAAAACUUGGGGCUUAACCCUGAGCUUGCGGUCGAUACGGGCAUGACUGGAGUUCGGCAGGGGAGACUGGAAUUCCUGGUGUAGCGGUGGAAUGCGCAGAUAUCAGGAGGAACACCAAUAGCGAAGGCAGCUCGCUGGGACGGUACUGACGCUGAGGCGCGAAAGCGUGGGGAGCGAACAGG
rnacentral:rRNA from 1 species